GGUCAUACCUGCACAAUGCCUCGAGGGGUCAAUUGCCGCGGUAACCUGACCGUGCUAAGGUAGCGUAAUCAAUAGCCUGUUAAUUGCUGGCCUGUAUCAAUGGUCUCACGCUGGCGGCGCUGUCUCUUCGGUACUUAUUCGAAUUUAACCUGAGGGUGAAAAGGCCCUAAUAAAACUGAAAGACGAUUAGACCCUAUCGAACUUUGGGUAGACUGUUCUGCUAAGGGGUAAUGCCCAUGACAAACAGAAAACCUUUGGUUGGGGAAACCGGGAGCCAUAAAAAACGCUCACCCCCCGCCUACACUUACUACGAGCAACUUUUUUGGGGCUUUAUGUGUGUAUAGAGCUCUACAGACAUAAAGGCUCAAGAUGGGCUCUUACCUGAAUUGCCCAGAAGGGAAACCUAAUUUUUAGAGUUAAAAGAAAAUGACAGUACACAGCUGGCUUAUAUAAUGAACCCAACACAUGCCCUCUAAGGGCCCGGCGUCGGGCCCUAGAACUUGACGCUGGGCCCUUCUGGCAUACCGUUGCGGAUAGGGAAGAGUUACCGUAGGGAUAACAGCGUAAUCCUUCCGGCGAGACCACAUUAAGGGAGGGGUUUGCGACCUCGAUGUUGGCUUAGGGCGACCUGGAAGUGCAGGGGCUUCCAAGGGUUGGUCUGUUCGACC
rnacentral:rRNA from 1 species